rnacentral:lncRNA from 1 species
UUCUGGUUAUCUUUCUUAUGAGACAAGAUUAAUAAGUUUCAUAUGAUUUAAAAUCAUAUGGUUUAAAAAAUUUUUCUUUAUAUAACUUGUUUAUUCUGACUCACUAAUAUGAUCAAGUCGACAGUAUCAAAGAUAUAUGAUAUUCACAUCUUCUCUCUUUCGUUUCUUAUUUUCAUCAAUAUGAAAAAUAUUAUCAUUGAGUGAUAGGAAUAUAAAAUCAUUAUCCAU